rnacentral:tRNA from 1 species
GAAGGUGUAGCUCAGCGGUAGAGCACACGCUUAGCAUGCACAAGGUCCUGGGUGCAGUCCCCAGUACCUGCA